AGGAUUUUAGGCUAAUAGAGACCAGGGGCCUUCAAAGCCCCAAGUAGAGGUGAAAAUCCCCUAACUCCUG